rnacentral:rRNA from 1 species
UACGGAGGGGGCUAGCGUUGUUCGGAAUUACUGGGCGUAACGCGCACGUAGGCGGAUCAGGAAGUCAGAGGCGAAAUCCCAGGGCUCAACCUUGGAACUGCCUUUGAAACUCCUGGUCUUGAGGUCGAGAGAGGUGAGUGGAAUUCCGAGUGUAGAGGUGAAAUUCGUAGAUAUUCGGAGGAACACCAGUGGCGAAGGCGGCUCACUGGCUCGAUACUGACGCUGAGGUGCGAAAGCGUGGGGAGCAAACAGG